AGCAAUUCAAAACCGUGUACAUGAAUUAGUAUCGAUUGGAAACCUAGAAGCUGCAGUUAGCUUACUGCUCUCCACGCCUCCAGAGAGCUCAUAUUUCUCUGCAAAUGCAUUGCGUGCUGUUGCCCUUUCUUCAGCUGUAUCAACGUCUUUACUUGAGCUGGCUGUAAAGGUUGUUGCUGCCAAUAUGGUGAGAACAGACCGGUCCUUGUCUGGAACACAUCUUCUUUGUGCUGUUGGCAGGCAUCAAGAAGCUUGUUCUCAGUUACAAGAUGCUGGAUGCUGGACUGAUGCUGCAACAUUAGCUGCAACACAUCUUAAAGGAACUGAUUAUGCAAGGGUUUUGCUGAGGUGGGCUCAGCAUGUUCUUCAUUCUGAACACAACAUUUGGAGGGCGCUGAUCUUGUAUGUUGCUGCUGGUGCACUGCCAGAGGCGUUAGCUUCUCUUCGUGGGGCACAACAACCAGACACAGCAGCCAUGUUUAUACUGGCUUGCCAGGAAAUCCACAGUGAAUAUCUAUCUAGCUUGGAUGAUGAAUUAAGAUCUUCAGAUAAGUUGGUUAACUUGCCGGGACUGAACCCAGAAAGUGAAGAUGUCCAUGCAGUUGGUGAAUACUAUGGACAAUACCAGAGA
rnacentral:misc_RNA from 1 species